rnacentral:rRNA from 1 species
UACGUAGGGGGCAAGCGUUGUCCGGAAUCAUUGGGCGUAAAGAGCGUGUAGGCGGCCUGAUAAGUCGGCUGUGAAAGUCAAGGGCUCAACCCUUGAAUGCCGGCCGAUACUGUCAGGCUAGAGUCCGGAAGAGGCGAGUGGAAUUCCUGGUGUAGCGGUGAAAUGCGCAGAUAUCAGGAGGAACACCAAUUGCGAAGGCAGCUCGCUGGGACGUUACUGACGCUGAGACGCGAAAGCGUGGGGAGCAAACAGG